GACGAACGCUGGCGGCGUGCUUAACACAUGCAAGUCGAACGGGAUCCAUGGGAGCUUGCUCCCGGGAGAUCUAGUGGCGAACGGGUGAGUAACACGUGAGGAACCUGCCCUUCACUGGGGAAUAACUCGGGGAAACUCGAGCUAAUACCGCAUACCUUCCACUGGUCGCAUGGCCGGCGGAAGAAAGAUUUAUCGGUGAUGGAGGGCCUCGCGGCCUAUCAGCUUGUUGGUGGGGUAACGGCCCACCAAGGCAACGACGGGUAGCUGGUCUGAGAGGACGAUCAGCCACACUGGAACUGAGACACGGUCCAGACUCCUACGGGAGGCAGCAGUGGGGAAUCUUGCGCAAUGGGCGAAAGCCUGACGCAGCAACGCCGCGUGCGGGAUGACAGCCUUCGUGGUUGUAAACCGCUUUCAGCAGGGACGAAAAUGACGGUACCUGCAGAAGAAGCUCCGGCUAACUACGUGCCAGCCGCCGCCGUAA
rnacentral:rRNA from 1 species